AUGCUGGCAGCCGCAGGCCUGCAAUUAACAAACGAGGUGCAUAGAUCGGUGCCUGCAAUUAACAAGGAGUGGAGUAGAGAUCGGUGCCUGCAAUUAAAAACAGAGGUAGAGGAGCGAUCGGUGCCUGCAAUUAACAAGGGGUGCAGCGAUCUGUGUCUGCAAUUAACAAACAGGGGUGGAGAGAUCGGCGCGCUGCUAAGCGCAGGCACCGGGGCCCGCCGGCGAGCGGGGGCUGGACCCCGGUGGGCCGGCUCCGGGCUCACCCGGUGCGGAGGGGCGGGCCGCCUUCCCACUGGUCCGCUCCAGCCGCGCGGCCUGCUGGCCACAGUUCCCAGCGGGCACCACCCGCUCGCGAGCCAGGCAGCCCCGGGCGGCGCGCGCCGGUCCGAGGGCGGGGACGUGCUCCGAGGACGCGCGCGGGGCUGGGCCUCCAACCGCCGCUCGCGGGGAAGAGGGCGGCUUCCCGCAAAGCCCGCCGCCGCCGCCGCCGCCGCCGCCGACUCGGAGGUGCCGAGGGUUGUGGGGGAGCUCGGGGCGCGCGGGAACAUCGCCGUCGCCCGGCGCGGCCCGGAGAAACUCUCGGCGUGGGCCACAGAACCCUUUGUCACAGGAGCAAUGCUGCCCUGGUGGGAACUGUCCUUUUACCUGUUAGCUUCCAUAGGCUUCCACUUCUAUUCCUUCUAUGAAGUCUACAAAGUCUCCAGAGAACAUGAAGAGGAGCUGGACCGAGAAUUUGACCUGGAGACUGACACUUUAUUCGGAGGAUUAAAGAAGGACCCGACUGACUUUGAGUGGAGCUUCUGGAUGGAGUGGGGGAAGGAGCGGCUGGUGUGGUUAUUCCUUGGCCACAUGAGCGUGUCUCAAGUCGCCAACCUGCUUUCGAGGAAGCACAAACCCUGGAUCCUCGCAGCCUAUGGGAUGUGGGCCUGCCGCUGCGUGCUGGGGACCCGAGGCACCGCCAUGGUUCUUAUUCACACCACCGUCUCCUUCUGUGUUGCUCAGUUCCGGUCUCAGUUCCUAUCAUGGCUGUGUUCUCUCUCUCUGCUGUCUACACUGAGACUGCAAGAUGUGGAGGAAGUUAAGAGAGGGUGGUGCACGACCGAGAACGAGUGCUACCUGCUGCAGUUCACGCUGGCCGUGCGCUGUCUGUGCUACACCAGCUUCAGCCUGGAGCUGUGCUGGCGGCCCCCGCCGGCCGAGCGGCCCUCCUACUCCCUCCCCUGGAUGCUCGCCUACGUCUUCUACUACCCAGUCUUCCACAACGGGCCCGUCCUCAGCUUCCCGGAGUUCAUCGCACAGAUGCAGCAGCAGGAGCAGAGCUCGCCGAAGACCAGCCUUUCCAUCCUUGCCUUGGGGCUGGGCCGUCUCCUCUUCUACUGGUGGCUGGCAGAGCUGAUGGUUCAUCUCAUGUACAUGCACGCCAUCUACAGCAGUGCCUCCCUCCUGAGGGCCGUCUCGAGCUGGACCUUAGGAGGUCUGGCGCUGGCCCAGGUGCUCUUCUUCUACGUGAAGUACUUGGUGCUCUUCGGUGUCCCGGCUCUGCUCAUGCGCCUGGAUGGACUCAGGCCGCCGCCGCUCCCUCGCUGUGUGAGCACCAUGUUCAGCUUCACGGGGAUGUGGAGGCAUUUUGACGUUGGACUACAUGAUUUCUUGGUUAGGUACGUGUACAUCCCAGCGGGCGGGUCACAGCAUGGCCUGCUGGGGGCCCUCUUCUCCACUGCGAUGACGUUCGCGUUUGUGAGCUUCUGGCACGGCGGGAACGACUACCUGUGGUGCUGGGCCACCCUCAACUGGCUGGGGGUCACCGUGGAGAACGGCGUCCAGAAGCUCGUGCAGAGGCCGCGCAUCCAGCACAGCUUGGCCCAGUUCCUCUCCCCAGGAGCUCGCCGGCGAUUGCAUGCCGCUCUUGCCUCUUGUUCCACCUCCAUGCUGAUCCUGUCCAACCUGGUGUUUCUUGGGGGCAGUCAAGUCGGGGAAAUCUACUGGGAUAGGAUCUUCAUACAAGGCUGGCCGUGUGUGACCCUGUCUGUCCUGGGAUGCCUGUACUGCUACGCGCACGUGGGCAUUGCCUGGGCCCACACUUACUCUGGUAACUGA
rnacentral:lncRNA from 1 species